AAGAAGAAGAAGAAGAUUCAUUUAAUUUUUGUAAGAAACCAAAAAUACGGGUAUAUUAAAAUAUUCAUCCUUAGCUUGAAAAGUAAUAUAGUCUUCGCUUCUGCAAUCAUGUGCAGGGGAAUCAAGUCAAGUAUAUUAGUUUGAACAAUUCGGUAAAAACCAAUGACAGUAUAGGAAUAGCAUGAUGCAGCCCGAUACAAAUUAAAAAAAAAAGGUACUUUUUUAAUUUGUCCUAACCAACCUAAACCAUGGUAAAGCAAUCUACGCUGAUUAAGCAACCAAAGUCCUCUGAAUAAGAGAACUUACUACUUUUUCAUGU
rnacentral:misc_RNA from 1 species